GAUGAACGCUGGCGGCGUGCCUAAUACAUGCAAGUAGAACGCUGAAGGAGGAGCUUGCUCUUCUGGAUGAGUUGCGAACGGGUGAGUAACGCGUAGGUAACCUGCCUGGUAGCGGGGGAUAACUAUUGGAAACGAUAGCUAAUACCGCAUGACAACAGUUAUUGCAUGAUAACUGUUUAAAAGGGGCAACUGCUCCACUACCAGAUGGACCUGCGUUGUAUUAGCUAGUUGGUGAGGUAACGGCUCACCAAGGCGACGAUACAUAGCCGACCUGAGAGGGUGGUCGGCCACACUGGGACUGAGACACGGCCCAGACUCCUACGGGAGGCAGCAGUAGGGAAUCUUCGGCAAUGGACGGAAGUCUGACCGAGCAACGCCGCGUGAGUGAAGAAGGUUUUCGGAUCGUAAAGCUCUGUUGUAAGAGAAGAACGAGUGUGAGAGUGGAAAGUUCACACUGUGACGGUAUCUUACCAGAAAGGGACGGCUAACUACGUG
rnacentral:rRNA from 1 species